CGGAGGAUCCGAGCGUUAUCCGGAUUUAUUGGGUUUAAAGGGUGCGCAGGCGGGGGAUUAAGUCGGCGGUGAAAUUUUGCAGCUCAACUGUAAAAGUGCCUUCGAAACUGGUUUCCUUGAGUGUAGAUGAAGUAGGCGGAAUUUGUGGUGUAGCGGUGAAAUGCAUAGAUAUCACGAGGAACUCCGAUUGCGCAGGCAGCUUACUAAACUACUACUGACGCUCAGGCACGAAGGCGUGGGCAUCAAACAGGAUUAGAUACCCUGGUA
rnacentral:rRNA from 1 species